UAAAACACAAAAACAAAGUUACAGAAGAAAAACAUAAGAUCAAACUCUCAACAAACACAUUCUGAUCACACUCAUACAACACUAAAUCCCAAGCUUUGAAGAACGCAUGGGAAAUCCUUAUUUAAUGCUAAGUGCCAAGACGGAUCCAGCGAGCAUCAAGGGGUUGAUGGAUGAGAUGUCUGGGUGGAAGUUUGAGUUGCACGGUGACGAUUGUUGUUGAGCCACACCACGAAGAUCUUGCGGCUUAUGCCCAUGUCAGUGCAGAAACGUUGAAUCUCCUCUCUGUUACCCUUGUGAGGUUUCCAGCCCAAAAUAUCAGCAAACCUUCUCAUUUGGUUCUUCUGCUCCACCGAGAAGGUCGUCCUCUUCCUCCUCAGUGGCCUUACUUGCUGCAAUGGCUCUGGGUUGCUGUUGCUGUUGUUGGUAGGCCUUUCUGCCUGAAGCGUGCCUGAAAAAGGAACUAUAUCAAGAACAUAAUCACUCUGUGUUUCAGUUUGCUGCAGGGGAUUGUAUUUGCGGUGAAAGUUGCGGUGACAACCACAACAUGCACAGAGGAAACUGUCCUGGGAGUUUCGCUCAGCGUCUGGUUUCAUAUACUCAUUGCAUCCAUCAUAGCAAGCUCCUCCCAUGGCUACUGCAUGGUUGCGACGACACUCCAUGUACCCAACAUCUUCCUCAUCGCUUUCUUCUACUUGGUUGGUGAAACUGCUGGUAUUGAUGCUUGACAUGGCGAUGGUGAUUUUUGU
rnacentral:lncRNA from 1 species